rnacentral:tRNA from 1 species
GCCUGGGUGGCUCAGUCGGUUGAGCGUCCGACUUCAGCCCGGGUCACGAUCUCGCAGUCCGUGAGUUCGAGCCCCGCGUCAGGCU